CACAAAUAGUUACUUGAAAUUUUUUUCCUUAAAAGAGUUUGGAAAAUGAAUGCCUCGGUGCUGUUUUUGAUCAACCUUUGGGCCUGUGUCACACAGCCCAGCUGACAUAUGAAGAGGAAGUGCUGGCACCAGGCACUGGGCACCGCUGGGGCCCCAUGGCUUAUCAGCAUCGGGGUCAUAAGGCAGACUGACGGAAUCUGCACGCAGGGAUGCAGUGGAACAGAAGGAGGCAGACAGAACGGAGGGGAAACAGAAGGAGAGCAGAGACUGUGGGACGGCUCCGUACCCUCUGGAUUGGGUUUGUUCUCCCACAGGACCCCCGCUGUGCCGAACAGGCAUGCAGAGGGCAGAUAACCACGAUAGAGGAUGAAUAGAUAUUGCCUGCCGCCUGCCCUGACCCUGGCCUGGACUCUGACAACACUCUUUUCUUGGAUAAUCCCAUGCUGGUGAUUGACCUCUGCCUGUCUGACCCUGAUCUAACUUUGUUGACUUUUAGCUGUGGUUCAUUCCUGGCUCUAUGUGACCAGCUGUCUGCCCGUUAUCAUGGUUGGCACCAAGACAUCAACUAAUUUUUUUGACUGAGUCACACACUCAAAGCAUAGACAGAACUCCUGAAAUCAUUUACAAAUUGACAAAACAAAAGUUGAGAAUUACUUUUAUGAUCAGCUAUAGUGUGACCCGGCAGAUUACAUAGUCAUCGAGUCAUAUCCACUCUUUCUCUGCCUUCUCACUCUUGUUAUUCCGAAAACAAGUGUCUACCUGCUGCUUUAUGGAAUUCUUGCUAUUCCAUUCCAUUUUCCUGCCUGCUAAUGUAAUCUGAGGGAAACAGAGGCAGCCUUCCAAUGACACAACCUUCAGAUAAGAACCUCUUAUCUUAUUGUUCCUCUGUGGUUGCCUCUACUCGGACCAGAUCGAGUUCCAGAACCUGUCAAAUGAAUGAAAAAGCCUCGAGGGGCGUAAUGUGGCUGGUGGUUUUCUGAGCUCUGGCUUUUGGCUCUCAUGUGAGGAAUGAAUGAUAACACGAGGAUUUAUGUAGCUGUAAAAGACUCAUGGAUUUUUGCUCAAAAAUUGUUAGGCAGCUUUAACUUUGUUGGCUCAGUUACAGGGCUUCCACGAUUAGUCGAUUAGUCGCGACUAUGUCGACUAUUAAAAUGGUCGACCACUAA